rnacentral:rRNA from 1 species
GACAGAGGUGCCAAGCGUUAGGCGGAAUCACUGGGCUUAAAGCGUGUGUAGGCGGAUCGUUAAGUACCUUGUGAAAUCCCACGGCUCAACCGUGGAACUGCUGGGUAUACUGGCGAUCUUGAGCCACCUAGGGGCGAGCGGAACAAACGGUGGAGCGGUGAAAUGCGUAGAUAUCGUUUGGAACGCCAAUGGUGAAAACAGCUUGCUGGGGGUGUGCUGACGCUGAGACACGAAAGCCAGGGGAGCGAACGGG